UUGAACUAUAGUGGGCUAAUUGUGAUAAUAACAGGUGCUCACACCCUUUUUCUUGUUUUGUGCCACGUAUCAACCCCUCUGUUAAUCUCUCGACCUCACCGCCUCUCUCCCUCAACUCCACCGAGACGAUCGCUACAUCCCUACACACCUUUCCGUUUCCAUCUUUCACCUUUAAAUUCACUGCCUCCAGACUUCGCCGUGAUUUCCAGCCGCUGCCAAUCUCCACCACCGCUGCUAUGUCCUCCGUUUUUACUCUGCUCGAAGCCAGUAGUUGUCCUUCAAUUCUUCGGCCAAUUAACUCCGUUUUCUGGCCAGCAGUCCACCCUUUCUUUGAUUAUUCUGAUUGGUUAACUCCGUCGGCAUCGACAGCCGAAGUACCGUGUUACUCGUGGAGAAUCAACUGAGACUUGUAUAUCAAGGACAUUCAGACGUAGUUGAAUAGCUUUGUGAAUGGAAUCAGGAAUAGUUCCUUAAGAUGAAGCUGUGCUGUGAGAUAGUCCGAUAGAAAUUAAUUGGUGUGAAAAUCAGCAGAACUGAGAUAAUGUUAAAGAUGGUUCGCCUAUUUAUGCUAAGUGUAAGAGUAAUGCUAGGCAAGGAUUGCAAGUGACUAAGUUUCAACCUGAUGGUCAGGAAGAGUAUCCAAGAUCGAGUCUUUGGGACUAGUGGUUUUAAAUUAUUUUUAUUUACACGUGGCACCAAAUCUAGACCCCCGGAUUUGAGGGCUGUCACACGUAUUCGGCCCUUUUCAGUAUUGGGCGAGGAAGGUAAGCAAUGGGCGAGGUCCUUCAGCAAUGGGCGAGGACUCUCUCUUGAAGACCUGGGCCGCUAGCCAAUGGGCCGUGUAGCCUGAUACAUGUCUAGGACGAGGGUCCAUACCGGGCGAGGACCGUCCUGUUGACCUGGGUCCAUAUGUUACUGGGUCCUCACUUCCUGGGCUUCAUAUAUGGCGAGACCCAUAUAAUGGGCGAGGACAAUCUCAGAGAUUGGUUCCUUCCGUGUUGACAGGCGAGUUCUACGCAAUCAUCUGCCGAGUUGAUAUUUGGCCAUAACAGGAACAUAACACAAAGUGAAGGACGGAGACUGCCACCACAAGGUGCAGACAUAUCGUGCAUCUUCUCCUUUAAUGAAGAUCUUAAAGAGUUGAUCUUUCACAUCCAAAAGUUUGCGUUGGAUGGCACUGAAAAACUAGGUCUGAAUUGUGAUCAGAAAUUCAACAUCUAUAUGAAAGUGAGGGCUCAGAAGUUACUGGAAUACGAAGAAAAUGGAGGCAAAUAUUUGUUUAAAUGCUAAAUUAGUUUGCAAAAUUACUCGAUUAGUCCAUGGAAGUGAUAUUGUGGACUUCUGAUGGAUAGGAUUUAAAAGCAUCCUUGCAACCUAUGUUUCAGUCGAUAUGACUUCGUUUC